rnacentral:rRNA from 1 species
GACGAACGCUGGCGGCGUGCUUAACACAUGCAAGUCGAACGGAAAGGCCCUGCUUUUGUGGGGUGCUCGAGUGGCGAACGGGUGAGUAACACGUGAGUAACCUGCCCUUGACUUUGGGAUAACUUCAGGAAACUGGGGCUAAUACCGGAUAAGAGCUCCUGCUGCAUGGUGGGGGUUGGAAAGUUUCGGCGGUUGGGGAUGGACUCGCGGCUUAUCAGCUUGUUGGUGGGGUAGUGGCUUACCAAGGCUUUGACGGGUAGCCGGCCUGAGAGGGUGACCGGCCACAUUGGGACUGAGAUACGGCCCAGACUCCUACGGGAGGCAGCAGUGGGGAAUAUUGCACAAUGGGCGGAAGCCUGAUGCAGCAACGCCGCGUGCGGGAUGACGGCCUUCGGGUUGUAAACCGCUUUCACCUGUGACGAAGCGUGAGUGACGGUAAUGGGUAAAGAAGCACCGGCUAACUACGUG